rnacentral:misc_RNA from 1 species
CAUCCAGAAGCUGUGUAUCAUAUGGUUGAGCUGCAGAAAAAGGAACGCAUGGAAUUCCAUUCAACGGUUGCAACAAGAAACUAAAUGGAUUGUUGUCAACUAUAACAGUUCUGCAAGGAUCCUUUGACAGACAAGAGAGAUCCUUCACAUGCUCCCUAUAUUUCGUGCUAAUUGUUGAAGGCCGAUAAAGGCGACAGCUAAAUAGAUUUUCUGUAUCUAUUCUGUCCACAAGGGGUUUAGCAUAACCUUCAAGGCCAGCAGUAAACAACACAAGAUCAGCAAAUUCACUUAGUUGUUUUAGGAAUUCAGCCAGCCCUGGACGCUCAAACACCGUAACACAAUUGAUUUUAGGUUUCCCUUCACAUUCCUUUUCUGAAGAUAAGCAUUCCAAUUCAAACCACUUCAGUCCAGCUUCAGUUGCUUGAUUACGUAGAAUAGCUGGCAAACUAGAUGUCUCAUACGAACAUAUUAGAGUUUCAUCCAAGUCCAGAACCACUGUGAGUUUUUUGAUAGGCUCAUCAGCAAAAGAGGAGUCACGUCCGGCUGUGAUCUCAAGAGUAGUGCGAGAGUCAAUCUCCGGCAACUCAACGACUGGCAAAGGCUUGAAAGAGUUAGAAGAGGAAGAAGAAGAAGAAGAGAGGAGAGGAAGGUGGCCUAAGGCUCGAAGGAUCUGGAGGAAGAUCUGAAAGAAGAAAGCGAGCCAGUUCCAGAGCGUCCUCC